rfam:Haemonchus placei strain MHpl1 genome assembly, scaffold: HPLM_scaffold0006574
GGCACAAAUUUGAAGUAGGUAGAUUAUUAGGAUCAGCUGACCCUUCUGAACUACUCUACUUCAAGUUUGUGCCC